CAUCAACCACAGCAGCCAAAAGGGGGAAGCCACCCAAGGGUCGGCUGUCGGGUGAACGGGUCAGCAAAGUGUCGUGUGCAAAACGCAGUGAAGUGUGACUCAGCCUGAGAAGCAGCGAAGCUGGGGCCGGCGCUGUAGCGUGGACGAGCCUCAGGGACACUGUGCCGAACGAACUUGCUUGCCUUUUGUUUUAGCAGCUGCAGUAUCUCGGAAGAAAAAACGAAGAAUGGGAACCUAUAGCCUGGUUCCUAAGAAAAAGACCAAAGUAUUAAAACAGAGGACGGUCAUUGAGAUGUUUAAGAGCAUAACUCAUUCCACUGUGGGUUCCAAGGGGGAGAAGGACCUGGGCGCCAGCAGCCUGCACGUGAAUGGGGAGAGCCUGGAGCUGGACUCAGAUGAGGACGACUCAGAGGAGCUCGAGGAGGACGACGGCCAUGGCGCAGAGCAGGCGGCUGCGUUCCCCACAGAGGACAGCAGGACUUCCAAGGAGAGCAUGUCGGAGGCUGAUCGUGCCCAGAAGAUGGACGGGGAGUCCGAGGAGGAGCAGGAGUCCGUGGACACCGGGGAGGAGGAGGAAGGCGGUGACGAGUCUGACCUGAGUUCGGAAUCCAGCAUCAAGAAGAAAUUUCUCAAGAGGAAAGGAAAGACU
rnacentral:sRNA from 1 species